rnacentral:rRNA from 1 species
AACUCCCACAAACCAUCGCGAAUCUUACCCGUACGGUUGCCUCGGCGCUGGCGGUCCGGAAAGGCCCUCGGGCCCUCCCGGAUCCUCGGGUCUCCCGCUCGCGGGAGGCUGCCCGCCGGAGUGCCGAAACUAAACUCUUGAUAUUUUAUGUCUCUCUGAGUAAACUUUUAAAUAAGUCAAAACUUUCAACAACGGAUCUCUUGGUUCUGGCAUCGAUGAAGAACGCAGCGAAAUGCGAUAAGUAAUGUGAAUUGCAGAAUUCAGUGAAUCAUCGAAUCUUUGAACGCACAUUGCGCUCGCCAGUAUUCUGGCGAGCAUGCCUGUUCGAGCGUCAUUUCAACCAUCAAGCUCUGCUUGCGUUGGGGAUCCGCGGCUGUCCGCGGUCCCUCAAAAUCAGUGGCGGGCUCGCUAGUCACACCGAGCGUAGUAACUCUACAUCGCUAUGGUCGUGCGGCGGGUUCUUGCCGUAAAACCCCCCAUUUCUAAGGUUGACCUCGGAUCAGGUAGGAAUACCCGCUGAACUUAAGCAUAUCAAUAAGCGGAGGAAAAGAAACCAACAGGGAUUGCCCUAGUAACGGCGAGUGAAGCGGCAACAGCUCAAAUUUGAAAUCUGGCUUCGGCCCGAGUUGUAAUUUGUAGAGGAAGCUUUUGGUGAGGCACCUUCUGAGUCCCCUGGAACGGGGCGCCAUAGAGGGUGAGAGCCCCGUAUAGUCGGAUGCCGAUCCAAUGUAAAGCUCCUUCGACGAGUCGAGUAGUUUGGGAAUGCUGCUCAAAAUGGGAGGUAAAUUUCUUCUAAAGCUAAAUACCGGGCCAGAGACCGAUAGCGCACAAGUAGAGUGAUCGAAAGAUGAAAAGCACUUUGAAAAGAGGGUUAAAUAGCACGUG